AAUGAACGCUGGCGGCAGGCCUAACACAUGCAAGUCGAACGAGAACGGCACUUCGGUGCUUAGUAGAGUGGCAAACGGGUGAGUAACACGUGGGAACAUACCUUUCAGUUCGGGAUAACAGUUGGAAACGACUGCUAAUACCGGAUAUUCUCUACGGAGGAAAGAUUUAUCGCUGAAAGAUUGGCCCGCGGUGGAUUAGCUAGUUGGUAAGGUAAAGGCUUACCAAGGCUACGAUCUAUAGCUGGUUUGAGAGGAUGAUCAGCCACACUGGAACUGAGACACGGUCCAGACUCCUACGGGAGGCAGCAGUGAGGAAUAUUGCGCAAUGGAGGAAACUCUGACGCAGCCAUGCCGCGUGACUGAAGAAGGCCUUAGGGUUGUAAAAGUCUUUCAGAUGGGAUGAUAAUGACGUUACCAUCAGAAGAAGCUCCGGCUAACUUCG
rnacentral:rRNA from 1 species